rnacentral:rRNA from 1 species
AUUGAACGCUGGCGGCAGGCCUAACACAAGCAAGUCGAGCGGAUGAAGGGAGCUUGCUCCUGGAUUCAGCGGCGGACGGGUGAGUAAUGCCUAGGAAUCUGCCUGGUAGUGGGGGAUAACGUCCGGAAACGGGCGCUAAUACCGCAUACGUCCUGAGGGAGAAAGUGGGGGAUCUUCGGACCUCACGCUAUCAGAUGAGCCUAGGUCGGAUUAGCUAGUUGGUGGGGUAAAGGCCUACCAAGGCGACGAUCCGUAACUGGUCUGAGAGGAUGAUCAGUCACACUGGAACUGAGACACGGUCCAGACUCCUACGGGAGGCAGCAGUGGGGAAUAUUGGACCAUGGGCGAAAGCCUGAUCCAGCCAUGCCGCGUGUGUGAAGAAGGUCUUCGGAUUGUAAAGCACUUUAAGUUGGGAGGAAGGGCAGUAAGUUAAUACCUUGCUGUUUUGACGUUACCAACAGAAUAAGCACCGGCUAACUUCGUG